UGGAGCAAAGAUUGGCGCAGUUUCCAAAAAUAAGACGUCCGCUAUAGAUAUAGCUGCGUACUUUGGUAACCCUCGCACAGUUCGUUUGCUGUUGGAUCGUGGUGCGGAUGUGAAAAAUAAGUCUGUGUUUGGAAAAGGAUGUUUGGACUCCGCCAUUAAAGGAUCCCGGGAACAAACCUGUAUGGAAAUAAUCAAACACAAACGCUGGAAAGAAUCUGUUGAAGUCAGGGACGAUGAUGGAUUUUGCAUGAUGAAGCAACUUAUUGAAAAAUUUCCUGAUGUGGCCAAGGUAGUAAUGGACAAAUGUGUCGAGACUUCUGAUCACCUGAAGACAGAUGCAGAUUUCUCAACAUCUUUCAACUUUGUGUUUCUCGAUCCCAUACCGGGAGAGCAAAUUAAUGACGAGGG